UCUCUCUCUCUCUCUCUCUCUCUCUCUCUCUCGCACGACUCUCAGCUUCUUCCUACCCCCGACUCUCUCUCUCUCGCGCGAGCUGCCAUUAAUUUCAGGGCUUAAAUGAAGAUCUGAAAUAGGGAUCUCUCUCUCUCUCUCUCUCUCUCUCUCUCUCUCUCUCUCUCCACCCACGUUCUUGUUGCCGAAGCCCUACCCACGCACGCCCUCUCUCUCUGAAGAUCGGUUGAGGUAUUUCUCUCUCUCUCUCUCUCUCUCUCUCUCUCUCUCUCUAUCUCAAUGCCGAUUUAGGGAUUUUAGGGUGGAUUGUCUAAAAUAGGGAUUUGGGGAUUUUAGGGUGGAUUUGUCAAUGCAUAUGGGGAUUUACGUGAUCAGGACCCAUCCAUUCUGCAAUCCACGUUGUAAUGGGCCAUGACCAAAGAUCAGUCCAAUUGGACAGUCCAAGCUCUGCUUGAUUUGAGGAAAAAAGGCAAGUCCUUGGGCCAUGUUCUGAUUGAGCAUUUAGGAUGGUCUGAUAGGCCUGAUUUUUUGAACCAUGCUCAUGUAUGGUGAUCUUGUACAAGUCUUCCAUACAUUCCUGUGGAAACUUGUGUGUAAAAAUGUGUAAAGUUAGCAUUUCAUCAUACUCUUGCCCUCCUUAAAGCUCCUGGUAACAAAGGAAAUUCUAAAAUGGCACACAUGCUCUGGUAACCAAGCAGAGGGCGCACAUGCUCUGUGGAUUUUGUGCAUCUGAAGUCAGAUUUAAGUGUGCUUUUAAUUUAUUUUUAUUUUUAAUGCAAAUGGGCGUGUGCAUUAAAGAAUGGUGCAUAGUUUGAUGUAUGAUAUAGAAUGCAUCAAAUGCUUCAAUAUAAUUGCUAAAUGCCUCUUUAAUCAAAUGAACCAUAUACAUGUUUGCAGGAACUCUUGCAUGCUUCCAUUGCUUGCUGCAGGAAACUUAUAGUGGAAUGGGUUCCAGCUGCCCACCUUGAAGAUACAACUGCAAAAGAGCAUAUUACCAGAUGCUGAAUUCUAUCUCUGGGGAGCAGGACUCAUGUGUGACACUGGCACCUAAGUGCAUUAAAUGCUAAUCCCACUUGGUUGUGGGCAGAGUUGUGUCAACAUAGGAUCUGGUAAAU